AUUGAACGCUGGCGGCAUGCUUUACACAUGCAAGUCGGACGGCAGCGCGGGCUUCGGCCUGGCGGCGAGUGGCGAACGGGUGAGUAAUACAUCUGAACGUGCCCAGUAGUGGGGGAUAGCUCGGCGAAAGCCGGAUUAAUACCGCAUACGACCUGAGGGUGAAAGCGGGGGACUUUUGGGCCUCGCGCUAUUGGAGCGGCCGAUGGCAGAUUUGCUAGUUGGUGGGGUAAAGGCCUACCAAGGCGACCAUCGGUAGCUGGUCUGAGAGGACGACCAGCCACACUGGAAGUGAGACACGGCCAAGACGCCUACGGGAGGCAGCAGAGGGGAAUUUUGGACAAUGGGGGCAAGCAUGAUACAGCAAGGCCGCGUGUGUGAUGAAGGCCUUGGGGUUGUAAAGAACGUUUGGCAGGAACGAAAAGUGCCGGGCUAAUACCACGGUACGAUGACGGUAACUGCAGAAUAAGCACCGGCUAACUACGUG
rnacentral:rRNA from 1 species